rnacentral:rRNA from 1 species
CCUACGGGAGGCAGCAGUGGGGAAUAUUGCACAAUGGGGGAAACCCUGAUGCAGCGACGCCGCGUGAGUGAAGAAGGAAUUCGGUAUGUAAAGCUCUAUCAGCAGGGAAGAAAAUGACGGUACCUGAGUAAGAAGGCCCGGCUAACGAAGUGCCAGCAGCCGCGGUAAUACGUAGGGGGCAAGCGUUAUCCGGAUUGACGGGGGGGAAAGGGAGCGUAGACGGGAGUGCCAGGCUGGAGUGAAAGGCGGGGGCUCAACCCCCGGACGGCGCGGGAAACGGUACGGCUGGAGUGCAGGAGAGGUAAGUGGACUUCCUUGUGUAGCGGUGACAUGCGUAGAUCUU